rnacentral:rRNA from 1 species
UUGAACGCUGGCGGCAGGCCUAACACAUGCAAGUCGAGCGGAUGAAGGGAGCUUUCUCCUGGAUUCAGCGGCGGACGGGUGAGUAAUGCCUAGGAAUCUGCCUGGUAGUGGGGGAUAACGUCCGGAAACGGGCGCUAAUACCGCAUACGUCCUGAGGGAGAAAGUGGGGGAUCUUCGGACCUCACGCUAUCAGAUGAGCCUAGGUCGGAUUAGCUAGUUGGUGGGGUAAAGGCCUACCAAGGCGACGAUCCGUAACUGGUCUGAGAGGAUGAUCAGUCACACUGGAACUGAGACACGGUCCAGACUCCUACGGGAGGCAGCAGUGGGGAAUAUUGGACAAUGGGCGAAAGCCUGAUCCAGCCAUGCCGCGUGUGUGAAGAAGGUCUUCGGAUUGUAAAGCACUUUAAGUUGGGAGGAAGGGCAGUAAGUUAAUACCUUGCUGUUUUGACGUUACCAACAGAAUAAGCACCGGCUAACUUCGUG